rnacentral:rRNA from 1 species
AACCUAUGCAGGGGAAUAACCUCGGGAAACUGAGUAUAAUGCCCCAUAGUCCACUACGCCUGGAACGGUGAGUGGAUCAAAGCUCAGGCGGCAUAGGAUGGGCCUGCGGCGUAUCAGGUUGUAGGGGGUGUAAAGUACCCUCUAGCCAUCUACGCGUACGGGUGUUGGGAGACAUAGCCCGGAGAUGGAUUCUGAGACACGAAUCCAGACCCUACGGGGUGCAGCAGGCGCGAAAACUUGACAAUGCGAGCAAUCGUGAUCAGGGAACUCCAAGUGGCUGGGGUAAGACCCAGUCUUUUCAUAACUCUUCAAAGGUUGUAGAAUAAGGGGUGGGUAAGGACGGUGCCAGCCGCCGCGGUAAUACCGGCGCCUCAAGUGGUAGUCGCUUUUAUUGGGCCUAAAACGUCCGUAGCCGGUUUGGUACAUUCGUGGGUGAAUCAACUCGCUCAACGAGUUGAAUU